rnacentral:misc_RNA from 1 species
UAGAGUUCUACAACUCCCAAACCCAUGUGAACAUACCUCUCGUUGCCUCGGCAGGCGCCGUCCUACCCCUCGUAGGUAGGCGAAACCUGCCGACGGCCCCCGAAACUCUGUUUAUUAUAGCAUUAGACCUCUGAAAAAAAGAUAACUAAAUCAGUUA